rnacentral:lncRNA from 1 species
GUGAGGCCUAAAACUACGUUUGCAGCAUCUGAUUGCAAUAAGGAUUUCAAAUAUGAAAAUUUCUAAAUGUCGGAUAGUGUACUGUUAUGAUGAAUUGUCGAUUCAAAUGAAUCCCAGAAAUAUUGCCAUUCUAAUAUAUCUCCGCUAAAAUUUGGUAGUGUUAACUUGGGUAGGCGAUGAUUUUGGCUUGAGGUUGAACUUGUUUGUGAUAGCUCCCGACUGGAAUGCGUAAAUGGGUUU